rnacentral:rRNA from 1 species
CCUACGGGCGGCAGCAGUGAGGAAUAUUGGUCAAUGGACGAGAGUCUGAACCAGCCAAGUAGCGUGAAGGAUGACUGCCCUAUGGGUUGUAAACUUCUUUUAUAUGGGAAUAAAACGUUCCACGUGUGGGAUUUUGUAUGUACCAUAUGAAUAAGGAUCGGCUAACUCCGUGCCAGCAGCCGCGGUAAUACGGAGGAUCCGAGCGUUAUCCGGAUUUAUUGGGUUUAAAGGGAGCGUAGGUGGAUUGUUAAGUCCGUUGUGAAAGUUUGCGGCUCAACCGUAAAAUUGCAGUUGAAACUGGCAGUCUUGAGUACAGUAGAGGUGGGCGGAAUUCGUGGUGUAGCGGUGAAAUGCUUGGAUAUCACGAAGAACUCCGAUUGCGAAGGCAGUUCACUGGACUGCAACUGACACUGAGGCUCGAAAGUGUGGGUAUCAAACAGGAUUAGAUACCCGAGUAGUC